UGGGAUGAUGUGCAUGAUGAUGAUGAUGGGAUGGUGUGCAUGUUGAUGAUGGGUAUAUGGUUGUAAAUGCAAAUAUGUAAGCAUUUAUUUUGUUAAAAUUUGGAAGUUUACAUGUGUUACAUGUUGCUAUUGUUAUUUUAGCAAGAUGACUUGUUUUAAGGAAAAAAGGAGACUUUUUCCUUGAUGUUCUGGUUCUCGCUGCAGCGAGAAUGAAGUUUGCUACAACGAGAAACUUUCUGUCCAUUUUGCUAACUUGUGGGUUUUUGCCAUAUUUCCCAUUUCUUUGG
rnacentral:lncRNA from 1 species